GGUGCGACAGUUUCCUACUCGGAGAGCGACUGUAUUGUACAAUUCAUUGUCAAGUCGGAGCAGCUCAACUAAGAGGCAACCCAACACUGCGUGGGCGUACCAGAGUCACACUUCUGAUGUCACCAACGUUAUAAUUCGUUGUUCCGGAUUGCCUUGUCUGCAAACGGAGAAGAGAAUUUCGAGAACUAUUUUAAUAUCCUGCUUUUCAAAUGGAGAACAAAGCUAUUCAACGAAAUCGAAGAUCUCCCGGCCGCGGGAGUCAACGAUCAUCGAAAUGUUUGUCAUGCAAAGUGACGGAGACACGGUCCGGAUGCGUUUCCUGUCGUUAGCAGUGGCACAAGCCCGGGCAAACGUGAAAACGCGGACAGGAAUCCCGCUAGAAGCCACCGUACUAUGACACCCGUGCCGCCGCGGAAUUUUUUAUCGGCCGCGGAAUAUCAGAUUGCUAUUGUAACACGAUGAAUGAAUUGAAUCACCGCCGAAUCGAUCCGUGAAACUCGAGAUCCGAGCGGAUAACUGUUGGAAUGUUAAUUUAUGCUAAGCAGCGUUAUCCGUCGUCUGAUAAUAUCUGUCAAGAGAAAGAGGAGCAAUCGCAUUGAAAUGUUAAAUAAUCGAGGCAACGUGGAUCAUGGAUUCCUGGAUCACUUUAAUUAUUAACAAAUUACAACGUGUGUACUUGAUUCCUGGAUCUUUAAUUAUUAACAAAUUACAACGUGUAUACUUCACAAGAUAGAUCUAUGUUGUAGAUUCGUGGAUCGUUAGACGUUUAUUAUAGAUAUGUUAGAAAGACUAAAUGUAGAAAACGAUAGCAGUGGUAGUGAUAUCGUCCAAUCAACAAGGCGACGAAGAAAUCGCAUAGAUAGCGAUAGCGAUGAAAGUGAUACGUAACGGUUUAUUACACAGUACAAAAUUAUAAGGAAUAAAAUAUUGAUUUUUUUGCAAAUAUACUUGAUGUCAACCAAUUCAAGUCCAAUAUCAUUAUAAUACGUUACUUCCAAAACUAUACUAAAUUCCAAUCCGGUCCAGAAUGGUUCGGAGUGCAACGGGUUAAUUAUUAACAAAUUACUACUGUGCAAGUGUGUACUUCACUUGAUAGGUAAAGAAAGGGAUCAAGCGAAUAAUAUCGGAGCGCAAAGGUCACGGAUCAAUAGUAAAUAUUUGGUCCUACCAUCGAGCACUUUCUUCGUCGAAGAUGGAACGACAACUUGGAACCUACAACUCUCACCACUCCGUUUAGCAUCGAGUAGACUGAGCCACUCUGCUGACCAGUUCUCCGCGUCGUGAUGUCAGCGUGGGAAGAGAGGGGAACGAUUAAGUGUCGGACAGCAUUCGGUACACUUCACCGCUUCGACAGUGUGUCUGAACACGUUAAUUCAACUACACAUCAUCGUUCUGGCUACUGGAUGACUGGGCUUCGGUCAUUCAAUUUAACAUUGAAUUGGAGUUAAAUGAAAUUUCAGUUGAGGAUAACUGGGUUCUGGUACCUGCAAUUGUUAAUUGGAAGCUCAUUACACUUUUUCCUUCUGAAUGAAAUUUUUGUAACAUUGCUUCAUUUCAGGUCAUUCAAUUUAACAUUGAAUUGAAAUUAAAUGAAAUUUCAGUUGACAUUGAAAGAUCUACAAUGGUAUAUAAUUUUAUGGUAGUCAGGAAUUGAAGAUUUUAGUUCUCAUUGGAGUUUAGUAUAUUCAUGUUACUGGGUAGCUUUGUGAUCCCAUUUUAAGUUAUCAGAAUUUUAUUGAAAUACAGAAAAUUACAUAAAUAGAGGUUUAUGAUCCUCUAUAAUAUAAUACAUUAGAGCUCCAACCUUUGACUCUUUUAAUGAGAACUCUGAAAUUUCAAAUUUCAAAUCUCAAAUUCCAAUGAUACAGAAUUAUAACAGAGUUAAGCAAUGAGAGAACAUUAAACAGCUGCCUUAACUGUCAGCAAUUGACUUCGCUAA